GGGGUCGUAGCUCAGCUGGAUAGAGCGUCGGUUUCCUAAACCGCAGGUCGGAGGUUCGAGUCCUCUCGAUCCCACCA
rnacentral:tRNA from 1 species